GGGGAUGUGGCACAGUGGUUAGCGCGCACGCUUUGCAUCCAGCAGUCUGCGUGAGGCCGUGAGUUCGAACCUCACCUUCUCCA